rnacentral:rRNA from 1 species
UUUUUUCAGGUUGACCUCGGAUCAGGUAGGGAUACCCGCUGAACUUAAGCAUAUCAAUAAGCGG